rnacentral:rRNA from 1 species
CCCGCACAAGCGGUGGAGCAUGUGGUUUAAUUCGAAGCAACGCGAAGAACCUUACCAAAUCUUGACAUCCUUUGACCCUUCUAGAGAUAGAAGUUUCCCCUUCGGGGGACAAAGUGACAGGUGGUGCAUGGUUGUCGUCAGCUCGUGUCGUGAGAUGUUGGGUUAAGUCCCGCAACGAGCGCAACCCUUAAGCUUAGUUGCCAUCAUUAAGUUGGGCACUCUAAGUUGACUGCCGGUGACAAACCGGAGGAAGGUGGGGAUGACGUCAAAUCAUCAUGCCCCUUAUGAUUUGGGCUACACACGUGCUACAAUGGACAAUACAAAGGGCAGCGAAACCGCGAGGUCAAGCAAAUCCCAUAAAGUUGUUCUCAGUUCGGAUUGUAGUCUGCAACU